rnacentral:rRNA from 1 species
GUCGAACGGCAGCAUGAUCUAGCUUGCUAGAUUGAUGGCGAGUGGCGAACGGGUGAGUAAUACAUCGGAACGUGCCCUGUAGUGGGGGAUAACUAGUCGAAAGAUUAGCUAAUACCGCAUACGACCUGAGGGUGAAAGUGGGGGACCGCAAGGCCUCAUGCUAUAGGAGCGGCCGAUGUCUGAUUAGCUAGUUGGUGGGGUAAAGGCCCACCAAGGCGACGAUCAGUAGCUGGUCUGAGAGGACGAUCAGCCACACUGGGACUGAGACACGGCCCAGACUCCUACGGGGGGCAGCAGUGGGGAAUUUUGGACAAUGGGCGAAAGCCUGAUCCAGCAAUGCCGCGUGUGUGAAGAAGGCCUUCGGGUUGUAAAGCACUUUUGUCCGGAAAGAAAUGGCUCUGGUUAAUACCUGGGGUCGAUGACGGUACCGGAAGAAUAAGGACCGGCUAACUACGUGCCAGCAGCCGCGGUAAUACGUAGGGUCCAAGCGUUAAUCGGAAUUACUGGGCGUAAAGCGUGCGCAGGCGGUUGUGCAAGACCGAUGUGAAAUCCCCGAGCUUAACUUGGGAAUUGCAUUGGUGACUGCACGGCUAGAGUGUGUCAGAGGGGGGUAGAAUUCCACGUGUAGCAGUGAAAUGCGUAGAGAUGUGGAGGAAUACCGAUGGCGAAGGCAGCCCCCUGGGAUAACACUGACGCUCAUGCACGAAAGCGUGGGGAGCAAACAGGAUUAGAUACCCUGGUAGUCCACGCCCUAAACGAUGUCAACUAGUUGUUGGGGAUUCAUUUCCUUAGUAACGUAGCUAACGCGUGAAGUUGACCGCCUGGGGAGUACGGUCGCAAGAUUAAAACUCAAAGGAAUUGACGGGGACCCGCACAAGCGGUGGAUGAUGUGGAUUAAUUCGAUGCAACGCGAAAAACCUUACCUACCCUUGACAUGCCACUAACGAAGCAGAGAUGCAUUAGGUGCUCGAAAGAGAAAGUGGACACAGGUGCUGCAUGGCUGUCGUCAGCUCGUGUCGUGAGAUGUUGGGUUAAGUCCCGCAACGAGCGCAACCCUUGUCUCUAGUUGCUACGAAAGGGCACUCUAGAGAGACUGCCGGUGACAAACCGGAGGAAGGUGGGGAUGACGUCAAGUCCUCAUGGCCCUUAUGGGUAGGGCUUCACACGUCAUACAAUGGUGCAUACAGAGGGUUGCCAAGCCGCGAGGUGGAGCUAAUCCCAGAAAAUGCAUCGUAGUCCGGAUCGUAGUCUGCAACUCGACUACGUGAAGCUGGAAUCGCUAGUAAUCGCGGAUCAGCAU